rnacentral:rRNA from 1 species
AAUAGAUACCCGGGUAGUCCAUGCCGUAAACGGUGGGCGCUAGGUGUGAGGGUCUUUUCACGACUUUCGUGCCGUAGCUAACGCAUUAAGCGCCCCGCCUGGGGAGUACGGCCGCAAGGCUAAAACUCAAAGGAAUUGACGGGGGCCCGCACAAGCGGCGGAGCAUGUGGAUUAAUUCGAUGCAACGCGAAGAACCUUACCUGGGCUUGACAUACACCGGAUCGGGCUAGAGAUAGUCUUUCCCUUUGUGGCUGGUGUACAGGUGGUGCAUGGUUGUCGUCAGCUCGUGUCGUGAGAUGUUGGGUUAAGUCCCGCAACGAGCGCAACCCUUGUCUUAUGUUGCCAGCAUUUGGUUGGGGACUCAUGAGAGACUGCCGGGGUCAACUCGGAGGAAGGUGGGGGAUGACGUCAAAUCAUCAUGCCCCUUAUGUCCAGGGGCUUCACACAUGCUACAAUGGUCGGUACAACGCGCAGCGACACUGUGAGGUGGAGCGAAUCGCUGAAAGCCGGCUUAGUUCGGAUUGGGGUCUG